CACGUAGGGCGCAAGCGUUGUCCGGAAUUAUUGGGCGUAAAGAGCUCGUAGGCGGUCUGUUGCGUCCGCUGUGAAAACUCGGGGCUUAACCCCGAGCCUGCAGUGGAUACGGGCAGACUAGAGUGUGGUAGGGGAGACUGGAAUUCCUGGUGUAGCGGUGAAAUGCGCAGAUAUCAGGAGGAACACCGAUGGCGAAGGCAGGUCUCUGGGCCAUAACUGACGCUGAGAAGCGAAAGCAUGGGGAGCGAACAGG
rnacentral:rRNA from 1 species